UGGGGAAUAUUGGACAAUCGGCGAAAGCCUGAUCCAGCAAUGCCGCGUGAGUGAUGAAGGGCCUUAGGGUUGUAAAGCUCUUUUACCCGGGAUGAUAAUGACAGUACCGGGAGAAUAAGCCCCGGCUAACUCCGUGCCAGCAGCCGCGGUAAUACGGAGGGGGCUAGCGUUGUUCGGAAUUACUGGGCGUAAAGCGCGCGUAGGCGGCUUUGUAAGUUAGAGGUGAAGGCCCGGAGCUCAACUCCGGAACUGCCUUUAAGACUGCAUCGCUAGAACGUUGGAGAGGUGAGUGGAAUUCCGAGUGUAGAGGUGAAAUUCGUAGAUAUUCGGAAGAACACCAGUGGCGAAGGCGAACUCACUGGACAACUGUUGACGCUGAGGUGCGAAAGCGUGGGAGCAAACAGGAUUAGAUACCCUGGUAGUCCACGCCGUAAACGAUGAUGACUAGCUGUCGGGGCUCAUGGAGUUUCGGUGGCGCAGCUAACGCGUUAAGUCAU
rnacentral:rRNA from 1 species